GUAGGUGAACCUGCGGAAGGAUCAUUACCGAUUUUUAGCGGAUCUGAUCUUUGGUCAUGGUCUCGCGAAAAACUUGUAUUUAAAACCCACUCUUAUAAAUUAAAUCAUAUCAUUUAUACAAUGUAUAUAAUAAAUAAAGAUCACUUUCAACAACGGAUCUCUUGGCUUUCGCAUCGAUGAAGAACGCAGCAUCUGACUGACUCCGGGAUU
rnacentral:misc_RNA from 1 species